rnacentral:rRNA from 1 species
AGAGUUCGAUCCUGGCUCAGGAUGAACGCUGGCGGCGCGCCUAACACAUGCAAGUCGAACGGCACCCCUCUCCGGAGGGAAGCGAGUGGCGAACGGCUGAGUAACACGUGGAGAACCUGCCCCCUCCCCCGGGAUAGCCGCCCGAAAGGACGGGUAAUACCGGAUACCCCGGGGUGCCGCAUGGCACCCCGGCUAAAGCCCCGACGGGAGGGGAUGGCUCCGCGGCCCAUCAGGUAGACGGCGGGGUGACGGCCCACCGUGCCGACAACGGGUAGCCGGGUUGAGAGACCGACCGGCCAGAUUGGGACUGAGACACGGCCCAGACUCCUACGGGAGGCAGCAGUGGGGAAUCUUGCGCAAUGGGGGGAACCCUGACGCAGCGACGCCGCGUGCGGGACGGAGGCCUUCGGGUCGUAAACCGCUUUCAGCAGGGAAGAGUCAAGACUGUACCUGCAGAAGAAGCCCCGGCUAACUACGUGCCAGCAGCCGCGGUAAUACGUAGGGGGCGAGCGUUAUCCGGAUUCAUUGGGCGUAAAGCGCGCGUAGGCGGCCCGGCAGGCCGGGGGUCGAAGCGGGGGGCUCAACCCCCCGAAGCCCCCGGAACCUCCGCGGCUUGGGUCCGGUAGGGGAGGGUGGAACACCCGGUGUAGCGGUGGAAUGCGCAGAUAUCGGGUGGAACACCGGUGGCGAAGGCGGCCCUCUGGGCCGAGACCGACGCUGAGGCGCGAAAGCUGGGGGAGCGAACAGGAUUAGAUACCCUGGUAGUCCCAGCCGUAAACGAUGGACGCUAGGUGUGGGGGGACGAUCCCCCCGUGCCGCAGCCAACGCAUUAAGCGUCCCGCCUGGGGAGUACGGCCGCAAGGCUAAAACUCAAAGGAAU